AGUUUGUAAUUGCCCGGCCAUCAUCGGAUGCACACAUGUCCACAAUCAGGAAGCCCCCCUCCUCAAAGGCAUUGAUCUGGUGAAAAGUUGACAGCGCCUUGGCAAGAUAUUUAACGGGGCUCACCUGAAACAUAAAGGAGUACUAGAUUACUGGCACGAACUCCUGACACAUCGGUGACCCAUCUCCAUUGACCCUGAUUGUAUUUAAGACUGGUUUCAGCAGCUUCUACACACCAAUCUGUCAGCCAAUGUCUUCUUUUUUUGCUACCUCCAGCUUGAUCAACCCUUUGGAUAAUCUUUAUCCAGACUGCACUGACCACCACCCACACCAGAUUCUGGAUUUUUCCACCUUCAUUUAAACCCACAGAACACUCACUUGGGAGCUCAAACCUGGACAGGAAACGUUGGAAGAAGUUUUUGCAAGGAUCCGGCAUGGUGACCGUCCCGAACUCUGACACCACAAUUCGGUUGCGCUCUUGGUUG